rnacentral:rRNA from 1 species
AACGAACGCUGGCGGCAGGCUUAACACAUGCAAGUCGAACGAGCUGGGGCCUUCGGGUCCCGAUGCUAGUGGCGCACGGGUGAGUAACACGUGGGAAUAUGCCCUUUAGUACGGAAUAACCAAGGGAAACUUUGGCUAAUACCGUAUACGCCCUUCGGGGGAAAGGUUUAUCGAUAAAGGAUUAGCCCGCGUCUGAUUAGGUAGUUGGUGAGGUAAUGGCUCACCAAGCCGACAAUCAGUAGCUGGUCUGAGAGGAUGAUCCGCCACACUGGGACUGAGGCACGGCCCGGACGCCUACGGGGGGCAGCAGGGGGGAAUAUUGGAAAAUGGGGGCAACCCUGAUGCAGCCAUGACGGGUGAGUGAAGAAGGCCUUCGGGUUGUAAAGCUCUUUCGACGGGGACGAUGAUGACUGUAGCCGGAGAAGAAGCCCCGGCUAACUUCGUGCCAGCCGCCGCCGUAACAC